rnacentral:lncRNA from 1 species
AUGAGAGUGAAAUCCCUUCACAAAGGUUUGCAGUUAAAAACACAAAUGAACAGGUAUACAUCAGCAUCUAUUGGUAAUGACAGCAGCAACACUUUCUCGAAAAGAAAAGCAGGAUCUGGCUCCAUAGUUCUGCAGUUGAAGAUCUCAGACCAGGUCUCAGAUGUGAUAUGGAUGGUGAAGAAGACAUAAGGAAGAUGAUGCAGAGUGCACUGGAGAAUUAAGAGGUAUUUGGUGCACUUAAGGGAGGUUGAUAAGUGCUGUAAAGAAGCAUAUUGUAACAGUAAUUGUGCAGAUCAACAGACAUUACAUCACAGGAAAAUAAAUAAAAUCACAGUGUUUCUGAGAUCUGUUUGUUUCUAUAAUAUUUUUUUUUCAAUGAGCUUGUUUUAUAAAAAAAGUGAAUGAAUGGUAUUUUAAACCUAGAAAUAUCAGAUAUAAAGUCUAGGAGUCUUGCAGCUGUCUCCCUGUAUAAAGUAACAACACUCUAGCACUGUUUACCAAGCAGGAGGAAGCACUGAGUUUGGGUCAGAUAUAAGGAUUUCCAUUUCUUUCAGCAUUGGUGGACAUUGUGCCACCCCUUGCUCACAGAAAUUCUAUUUUGGCUGCCUGCCCAUUGGAGAUCUAGAAGAUGUGCAUCUGAUGUUGUGACCAUAUUGCAGAUCUGGGUGGUUACACUCUGCUGCUAGAUGUUUACACUACAUAUUUGUUCCAGGCUAGCAUUCACUCUUGAUUUUACUUACUCUUGACAUAGUGACUGAAACUAGAAGAGCAAUCCCUGUAUUUAGUCUGCAGAUCCCUUAGCAAAAGCUCUUUGAAAAGCUUUGGGAUCUUUCCACUGCACAAAUUUCACGUCUUUGUC